rnacentral:rRNA from 1 species
UACGUAGGGGGCGAGCGUUGUCCGGAUUUAUUGGGCGUAAAGAGCUCGUAGGCGGUUUGGUAAGUCGGGUGUGAAAUCUCCACGCUCAACGUGGAGGGGCCACUCGAUACUGCCAUGACUCGAGUCCGGUAGAGGAGUGUGGAAUUCCCGGUGUAGCGGUGAAAUGCGCAGAGAUCAGGAGGAACACCCGUAGCGAAGGCGGCACUCUGGGCCGGUACUGACGCUGAGGAGCGAAAGCGUGGGGAGCGAACAGG